rnacentral:tRNA from 1 species
AGUGUAUAGCUCAGUGGUAGAGUGCAUGCCUAGCAUGCACAGAGUCCUGGGUUCAAUUCCCAGUAGCUCUG